AAAUUCUAGUGUGGUACCUAGUUUUUUUAUGACUCUACUUGCAAUCUGGGUACAACAAUUUUUUGUAAUCAUCUAUCAUGCGUUGCAACUUUUCUAAUUCCUUCUCAGUUUCGCAAUCUCUGUGUACAUCCUGUAGCACCUGACCAAGAUCAUCAGUAGGGCCAUCUUUGGCAAACUCAUCUUCAUCAGGCUUGCCCAUUGUAGUAUCUGCAAAAAGCUUGGCCAGCAGCCUAGUCCGGAAUAUUGUUAUCAUCCUCCUCUU
rnacentral:lncRNA from 1 species